CGUUGGUUCUAAAAGAAGUCCACCCAAGUAGGUGACUUGUUGAAAAGGACAACGACGUUCCACAGAUUGCACACAAAGAGCAAGAGACCACAUCAAAACAUCUCGUCCCAACACACGCCUAAAUAUAAUAUCUAUAGAGAUGGAUUUGUCAGUAUUGGCGUCAGGAGACAAGCAAAAUUCUUCCGGGGGGCGCUCCGUCUGAGAGAAGUAAUCAGAUAUGAGCCAUAUAACAGCAAGAGAUGCUCAGCAAAUAUCACCUGUCAGUGAGAACCCUCACGGAACCCGUCCUCCUGCUGUCUGGCCAGAUUAAACUCCAUUACGUAACACUCGUGUGUUUCUGCCAGCCUGUGUGUGUUCAAGAAAAUAUAUUCCGUACCGCACCGCUUUAAAAUAUAUUCUUUUCAAAUUUUUGCAAAACUAUUUUCAAAAGAAAUUCUAAAACAAAUAUAUUGUGUGUAAAAUUUGUCACAAAAUGCAUGCGAUUAAUUUUAUCGUGUUUUAUUCAUUCAAGUAGCUUUAUGAAAAUGGUUUUUAACCUCGAUCUUCCAAAAAAAUGACAUACUGGUUAUGUGAGAUGAACUACUCAAUUUAUUGAGUCCACUAAUUUACAGAAAACUCAUUCAACCUGUCUGAAAACCGGCCUUAAAUUAGUCCACACAGUCUGAAGCAUCUAUUUCCAGUAAUUCAUGAGUCAGUUUAGCCUGACUUCAUCUAAUCGGUCACACGCUACUGAGACAUACUGUAGGGACCAACUAGUGAUAGACUGUUGGACUGACCAGGGCAGCUAUUGGCCGGCAUUUGACUGAAAUUAUUAGCACCAGUCAAGCUACUGUAAAUCACAACAUCCUCGUCUGUUGCUGUAGUUAAACCAAAAAAAAGAAAAUGGACAGAGAGGCUGGUUAAGGGGGCAGAAAAUGCUUUUUCUCUCCCUCUUUCAUGUCUCAUUGUUACAUAACUACAGGCCAUGACGGCCACUGCAUUCCACAGACUGGGCGUUUAGCUAAGAUCAGACGGACAGCUGCAGACCGACGACAAGAAGGCGGCAUGAUUCUCACACAUGCACGGCAAAAAGCACUCAAACAGGCCUUGCUUGCGUUAUUUAUUAAGCAGGUAAACUGCGGUAAAUUUAGAAUAUAAUUCCAACUGAACUUUUUAGUAUGACAUAUUAGAUGUUGUUAUGCUAAUUUAUAUAGGCCUACUAAAUUAUUGACCUUCAUUCUUUUUACAGUUGAACACGAGACCGAACAAAGCCUACUUGAAGUUGCAGAAAGUGAUUUGAAUUACAGGCCGUGUUGACAAAAAUACCGUAAUUUGAUAAAAUACUUUAAAGAUUGAUGGCACUUUCAAACAGCCAUUCUGGCUACCUGAAGUAAGAUAACAAUCGCCUGUAAAUCUAAAAAGAAAGAAAAAAAACAUGUCACAUUUUGAAAAUGAUGAGUAUACUCUCUCUGAAUAGACUUCUAUAGAUAAACGGGGUAUAUUGGUUUCCAUAAUGAGUUUUCCCAGUGUGACUCAUGGUUGAAAAAAAAAAAAAAAAUCAAUGACGGCCAAAGCACUAAACACACAAGUUUGCACAGACACAAAAUUGAACUUACAAAACCAGAUUAGUAAUAAACCGGUGUGGGUGAAA